CUAUUUUUAAGAGCCACGCGAAGGAAAAAAAAAAGGCAUUUCUUUCAUCUUAAAGAGACAGCGAGGAAGCCACGAAGAUAAUAGAGUGAUUUUCAAUCUCCAUUUUAAGGUAUUUUUUUUCAUUACUUAGCCAUUUAAUUAUUGUUUCUAUUUUAUAUUUUGCUGAUAUUUUUCAUUUGUUGUUUUGAUGGUUAGAUUUAUUUCGAAAGUGAUUGAUUUUUUGUGUUCUUUUUGUUUAUUUGAGCUUACAUUUUGAAGUUUUAGUUAAGAUUUAUUUGAUUUUCCAUCUCUCUUGAGUCCGAAUCGGAACACCUCAAUUUUUUGAUCUUAGUGUGCUUUUCAUUGAUCAAUGCCGUUAUUAAACCACAGAUCUUUAACUUGUUUUCCAUCUCCUUUUCUGCUUUUUUUUUUUACUUUAUUGUUCAUUCAUAAACACAGCUAUUUACUUUCGCUUAUUUUUUAAUAGAAAUUAUGAAAUCUAUUAAUAGUAAAGAAUAACGAAACUUGUCUUCUAAAGUUUUGGUUAAUGAUAUAUUAGUUAUUGUUUAUUGAAAGAAUGAGUUAUAACUUGAGUAGUAGCUGAUUUAUUCUUUCAUUCAGAUAUGAACAUGUUUUUUUUUUUGGAGGUAAGUGAGUGUUUUCUUUUUGCUUAAUUUCAUAUUUAAUUAAUUUUACACAAAUUAUUUUUUUCUAUAUAAGCAUAUUAAGAAGAUUCUAUUUAUUUAAGUACACGGUUUAAUUUUUUACAAAGGUAUCAAAUAUGCAUCAUCAAAGGCAUAUCCUACUGAUUCCGAUGAUGAAAUCCAAAAAUUCUAUUAAAAAGAAUAUUAUGGGAAUCCGGUUAUAAAAAAAAUGGACAAGACGAUUUAUUUAAAAUAAAAAUAAAAACAUGUUAUUGUCUUUAUCUUCAUUGUAAUUUUUUGGCAGUCUUUUUUCUGGAAUUUUCGUCUGUAGUUUUCAACUUGAUUUAAUUAUAUUUGCCACUUGCCGGAUACCGAUGAACAAUAUCAGCUGAUUCUUUUUGUUGUUUAACACUUUUAACUUUAAACUACAAGUCUAUAAAUCGACUCGUGAAUGAUUUUUCUAUUAAAAAUUAUGAAUAAACCCACCACUACUUGGGUAAGAAGUGAUCUGUGGCAGCGCUGUGAUUUGAUAAUUUAGACGGACGGUUUGAUUUUGGUCACGGUGACUGCAUCCCGUGAUUUAACACAUGCUUUUCUAAAAUGCCGUGUCGUUAUGGGUAUGUGCCUGCUCCUAAGGGUGCAAUCAUAGACUGUGCUUGUUAUUUUUAGUUUUAAAUAUGUAUAAAUAUAAUAUAGUUAUAUGUCAGAACAAAUAUACAUGCCAACAUUCUAACCACUAUUUCUUUCAAAAAAUAUUGUAUAAAAAAACAUUUCAACUAAAGUAAUAUGUGAUAUACUUGACAAUUAUUAAUUUUACUCCAGUAAAAAUAUAUUAAACAUUUUUCAUGCAUAAAUACUAAUAUGAAAAGCAUGAGUAGGGUCGUGUAGAUUACGUUUACCGCCAAACCUGGCAAAACUACUGGCAGUGGAAUUCGUUAAAACUAGAAUUUCAAUUUAUAUAAAAUUUUUUAAGGUGCAAUAAUGUGACAUGAAUGUAUUAAUAUUAAUUACUUAUGUUUCAAAUUUUGAAUAAAUUUAUAAUACUUUAAAUAAAAACUUGAUAAUAUUUUUUAUUAAUAAAUAAUGGCCAUAAUGGUAAUGCGCAUUGUACUCAUAGGAAAAAAAGCUUAAAUUUAAAUUUUAGAGUUUACAUUAUUAGAAAAGAUAUUCACAAACCUUGAAAGGGUUAAUAUUCAUAGAUAGUAAAAUAGAUAUGGAAGAUACAUUAGUUCUAUAAAGAUGAUAAUUCCUUUAAAUUAAACUACUAUACUUAAACGGUAGAGCCAAGUAGAGGCCAGGAGGGUCAUGACCUCAAGGUUUAAUUUUUUUUUUAAUUUAGUAGUUUGUAAAUAUACUAUGGCUCUUUGUAAAUAAACUAUGGCUCUUUCAAAAAUAUAAGUAGGCCCCCUAAAGGUUUAAGAUUUUUGUAAUUUCUCUUUUUGUAUAUAUAUUAUAGCCCUCUUUAAAAUAUAAGUAGGCCCCUCCAAUAUUUUUAUUGUAUUAAAAAUAAUAUUAAAAAAAUUAUUCUUGAUAAAAAUAAAGAAAAAUCUUCUUGAAGAAACUAAAUUACUCAUGAUGACUUUUAAAUUAUAUUUUUGUUAAAUAUUUAUUAAAUAUUUUACUUAAAAUAAUAAUAUUUUAUAAGUAAUAUAAUAAUAUAUAUAAAGAAAAGAAAAAAUGAACAAACUUUUAUCAAUCUUUUUCUUUCAUAUUGGUGUGUAGCAAGAAAAGAAAAAAAAACUUCAUAAUUUUUCCUCUAAAUUUUAAGUAUAAGGUAUGUUUUUCUUCAAAAUUUUCAUAUAUUUUGAAUCUUUGAAGCUUGUUUUACAUAUAUAUACCAAUAAUUUUUUAUUUUAUUAAGUGUAUUGAAAGGUGCCAUUAAAAGAUAUUGAUGAAAACUUAUUUUAAAUUAAUUGUUUAUAUAUUUAAAUCGAUUAUUAUGUAACAUAUCUAAUUUUAAUUUAACCCAAAAUUAACAUCCUGCCACUGACUAUACUAAAUUAUGCAAAAAUAAAUUAUAAUUAUAAUCUCUACAAAACAUAAUAAGAAUUAGUAUAAAACAUCAUAGGAAAAUUUUCCUCUAAAUUAAAUCAAAAUUACUAAAAAAAAACAUUAAAAUCAUUAUAUAUUACCCAAAAAAUAUUUCAAAAAGUUUUAAACAAAUUCUUCUAAAUUAUAAGGACAAUUGUCCAACCAUAAUGAGUUGUCCAGAAAAAAAAAACUAUGCUUUUAUGGAUUGUAUUAUAUUGAUAUGUUUUCGAAAAUUAGAUUAAUGUUUUUGAACAUAAUAUUUAUAUAAGUUAUAUCAAUAUAGCCUAUAAAAUAUGUAUAAUAAUCCAAAAAAUUGUUUAAAAUAAUGAAAUUAGAGUUAAAAAUUUUAUGAAUAUACAAAAUAUAAAAUUAAUUAAGAUAUGAUACAAACACAAGUUGAGAAAAAUAAUUUAUACAUGACAUGAAACAAAAAAUAUUAACAAAAUAUGAAUAUAUGAUCAUGUCAAAAUCUAUAUAAAACGAAUUAUUUAUGUUAAAAUUUAUGUAAAAUUCUAAUACUCUGAAAAAAAAAAUCAUAAAUGUGAAUACAUCAUGAACAUAAAUAUAUUUUAAAAAUGAAUCACUAAAAUAAAUUAUAAAAAAUAUAUAUGUAAUAAAUUUCAACAGAACAAUGCACAUAAAUUUUUUUUCUGAAGUGAAUAACAUUAAUAAUUUUGAAAAAUCUUACAAAAAGUAAAAUGAAUAUAAUAUGAAUAUAUAAACAUGUAAAAUAUAUACAUAAAAUAAAAUAUUAAUAUAUAUAAAUAAACGAAAAAAUAGCUUAAUAUAAAACAUGUAAAAUAUUAUACAUAAAAUAAAAUAUUAAUAUAUAUAAAUAAACGAAAAAAUAGCUUAAUAUAAAAUAACAUAAAACAAUUUCUCAUUUUUCCUCCAUCAUAAUUUACUUUAACUAACCUCAAAUUAAUAGUUAAUGGCAUUAUAUAUGUGUCACAAGCUGUAAUCCCCUUAGUUUUAAAUUAAGCAAUCUCAUGCAAUGGGAUUGUUUUUAUAGUAGGUAUAUAGAUGUUCGUGUGCAUUGCUUAAAAAAUUACCUAAAUAUAUCUUUUUAAAUUUAGAUUUUAUUUUUAUAUUUUAAUUAUAAUUUAUGGAGAAUUUUUUUUAUCAAAUUUAAGUGUUAACAUUUAAAAUAAAAUCAGGUUGGAGACUAUAGAAGGCAUAAAAAUCUGAAUGGCUGACUUGUCCAAUUGCCAUUGCCAUUGUCAUUGCGAUUCCUAUUCAUAUUACUUUACCUCAUUUUUCACUAACAGUUUUAAUUUAAAAUUGUAAAUAAUAUAUAAUAGUACAAUAUACAUAUAUAAUAUUUUAUUGUAUAUGAUUUUAAUACAUAUGCUAAAAUACAUAAAAUAUUUAGAGAGAAAUAUAAUAAUCUUAAAAAAGAAAAAUAAGAUCAGGUAAAUCUAUUACUUAUAUCUAGACUUAUCCAUGAAUCAAAUAGUCCGUCCAACUUGAUAGGCUUAGUCUAAUUUGACCUAGGCUUGAACAAGAUAUUUUUUUUUUGUCUCGGCCUAGGUUAAUGUUAAUACCCCAAAUCAAUUUGUUGGACGAUCGACCAUGCCAGAAUGCUAGUCGAAUAGACUUUAGACUUGGCAUACUUAUUGCCUGAGUUUUAAAUAUUUUAUCACUUCGUGUGCUAUUCACAACGCUUUAGACCAAAAUGAAUACUACUCUUAUAAAUAUUUCCUCAUUCAUGUGCAUAAUAUUAAUUACAUACACAUCAUAGUUGAAACAAGUCUUUCAAAAUUUACAAUUCAUGAGCUAAGAUUAUAGAUCGCCUUAAUAUAUACACGUUAAAUCCCAAAAAUUGCUAGGCUUUUGGCUUAGUCCCACCCCCAAAGUUCAAAAUAGCUUUUUUUACCUGAUGAACUCAAGAGUUCGCAUGAUGUUUGCUUACCUAUACAUACAACUCGCAUGGAAUAUAAUUCGCACAUAAAGCCAACUAAUAUGUUAAACAAUUCACGUAUAAAUAUAAGCAACACGCAUACAAUACAUUUCACUCAAAUAGACAGUUCACUUUCACUCUCUGCGAACAUAUGUGUUACGGUAAGUCUAGGUGGAUUUCCCCACUGCAGAAUUAUACUAGGUGUAAAACCUUUAUGAAAAUAUACUUGGCUACCAUACACCAGACACAUGCUUGUGAAUUCACACUUGUGGCUUCAUGUCUAUGAACUCAUACCUGCAAAUUAGGUUUGUGGAUUAAUAUUUGAGCUCGUAUAUACCUAAGCAUUUGCCUGCCAUCCUGGAGACGAACUUGUUGAGCAUAACCACCCUCCCCUUUAAACACUGAAUAUCCUUGCUAGUUCUUGGAGGAGGCAUAUCCAAAAUAGCUUGAAUCUUUUCUCGAUUCGCUUCUAUUCUUCUCUGUAAAACCAAAAAGCCUAAGAAUUUGCCUGCUUUUACAUCAAAAACACAUUUCUCCAGGCACAAUUUCAUGCUAUGAGCUCGCAAAACAGAAAAAGCCUCUGAAAAAUCCUGAACAUGCCCCUUAGGUUAGAGCUCUUUACCAAUAUGUCAUUAACGUAAACCUCACUGUGCGCAAUUUGCUUUCUAAAAAUUUUGUUAAAUAAUCUCUAGUAAGUUGCCCUUGCGUAUUUCAAACUAAAAGGUAUAACUCAAUAGCAAAACAAACAUUCUUCUAUGAUAAAAGUUAUUUUGUCUUGAUCUUUUGAGGCCAUAGAUAUUUGGUUAUAACUCGAAAAUGCAUCCAUAAAACUAAUAAAUUUAUGCCCCGAGGACGCAUACACCAAAUCAUCAAUCGAGGGUAAAGGAAAAUUGUCCUUGGGGCAAGCUUUGUUAAGGCUGGUGAAGUCAAUACUCAUUAUCUAUUUCCCAUUAGCUUUCUUCACUAUCACUACAUUCGAACCCAAUCAGGAUACGCCACCUCUCUGAUGAACUUCGCUAAAAGCAGUUUCCCUACCUUUUGUUUUAUGGCCUUUACAACCCGAGGAGCAAAUUUUUUUCUACUUAACUAGUUUAACCUCAGGAAACACAUUUAACCUAUGAACAACCAUUUGAAGGUCCACCUCAGGCAUAUUCGCAGUCGACCACGCAAAAACAUUGGAAUUCACUGUUAAACACUGAAUCAAGUCUUAUUUUUCCUCCUCUGCCAAUGUUGAAGAAAUUUUUAUAAACUUGUUCGUAUUAUCAUAAAAUAACUAUAAAUUUUCUGUGACCUCUGCCCCUUCUGGCUUCCUAAUUCUUUCCUUACCUCAAACAUCCAAACUAUCCAAAUCCGAAACUUGAUCAACCACUCUUGUCUGUCAUGAAAAUUGCCAUGCAGCACUUGCUCGCGUGUUUGCUUGACUGAUAACAUGUGACACUAUCUAGCUGCCUGUUGAUCAAAUUUCAUAAAGCUUUUCCUUGUUCUUAUAGGAAAUUUAAUCUUCAUACAGAAUGGUGCAACCAUUAUCUUAGCCAUUCUCAUGAUGGGACGCCCAAAAUGGUAUUAUAGGCCAUUGGAUAGUCUACCACAAAGAACUAUACAUAUUUUGUCGUGGUGUGUUUGUUGUCCCCCAAUGUAACGAGUAAAGUAAUGCAUCCCUUUAACUUCAUAGAAUGGUUUGUAAAACUAUACAAUAGACUUGCCCUCCUUAAAACUUGCUCUUUCAAACUCAUUUUCUGGUAAGCAUCCCAAGUUAACAACUCCACAGCACUGCCACUAUCAACCAAUAUUCUCUUCACCUCAAACCCUGUUAUAAUUGCUACACAACCAUUAGGUCAUUUCCUUCUUCAUCACACAUCAUGCUUUCAUCUUCAUUGUUAAAUUCCACCUUCCAUUUUUCUUGUUGACGCAACCCUUUUUAGUAAGCUGAUUGACAUUACGCUUUUAAGGUGAGCCUUUUUCUUUGUGUUAGAGGUCACCUAGUCUUCAUCAGUAACAAUUAUCACAUGUAUUGUUCCCAUAACCUUUUGCUUGCCAUUGUCCUCACCUAGCAAACUCUGACCUGAAGGAGUAGUAUCUUGAGCUAUAAAAUCUUUUAACUCGUCAUUCUUAAUUGCUUCUUCAAUAGCAUCAUUUAGAGAAGAGCAAUCCUCAAUCUUAUGUCCUCCGUCGUUGUGAAAAUUACAUUUAUCCCUCAAGUUUGACCUCGAUACAUUACGUCGUAUGGGUGGAGGACUUAGCAAGAUGCCCAAACUUUUAACCUAGCUAAGGAUAUAGGAACGAGUAGCAUUUAAUGGAGUAUAAGUUUCAAAUCUUCUAUGAAGGGCAUACUUUCUUAUGUGUUUAGGUUGAGAUAUUUGAAAUACUCUCGACGAUUCAUUUUGUGAAUAACUCCUCUGUUGUCCCUCGCUUUGUACUACAAGCCGUUCUAUUAAUUUCCUCUACUUCAACAAACUUAUGGGCCCUCUUAUACUGUAACACCCUUUAAUCCCAAACCGUCCCCGGAAUAGGGUUACAGGGCAUUACCGAAAAUAGACAAACUUUAUUAUUAUAAAUCGAAAAUAACCACAAAAUUAUACUCAAAAUAAGGUUAAUUACCCUUAUAGAGGUUCUACGGACCUAAUAUGAACCUUUCGUGGGGUUAGGAUUCGAAUCCUAACUCUACAGGCCUCCUUGAAACACUAAACACAAUUAUACAAACCAAUCCAAUUCACUUCUACAUAACAUGUAACUAUAUACCAUUCAUUUCAUAAACUUAGGAAUCGUCCCUUUAUACGUCAAACUCCUUAAAGUUUAUACACCAUCUUUUACAUUCAAAACAUUAAAUAUAUACAAAUGGCCACCUAAAACCUAGUACAUGCCACAUUACCAAAAGAUAAGAUUUUUACCACAAAAUGAGUUGGAGUUGGAGAUGAUUUUGAAUGCAGAACCGAACUCUAUUUUACCUAACCUGCGCACGAAAAACAACCGUACGCUGAGUAUUGAAAAUACUCAGUGGUAUUAUCAUAAUUCAAUUCAUAACAUCAAAUCAAGUUCAAAACAUAAAUGCACAAGUAGUCAAUUGAAUAUGCCAAUUCAUGUCAUAUUAAUGACAUUCAAAUGAUUAUAAAAUUUUCACCAACAUGUAAACACUUAAUUCAUAACACUUUCAUGUAUACAUAAUUCAUAAACAUAAAGUUCAUGCUUCAACUUCACAACACAAUUUCUUUUCACAUUUCGUAUCAUCAUUUUCUUUCACCUUUCAUUCGAUAAUUCAGAUAAUUUUGCUCAUUUCACUUAUAGGCCCUAUUAACCUGACUCGGACCAAGGUGGAUACGCGGAUCCAACCAAACACACCAGAGUGGCGACCAACGCCUUAUCGGAUAGUUCGAAGUAAAUCAGAUCUAUGGCACACCAAGUACCUCAUCGGCCAAGCCGAAGCAAUGUGGCUACCAAAGCCUCAUCGAAACUAUCCGAAGUAAAUCUAUGGCACACCGAGUGCCUCAUCGACUCGAGGUCGAAGAAUCCCUGAACACUUCCAAUCCUAUGGCAUGCCAAUUAUAUCCACUAAGCCCGACUAGUUAAUAGGGUUUCGAUCAUAUUUCCAUUUCCGAAACAUUUUCACAUUUCAAUCAAUUCUCUUAUAUUUCUCAAUGUAAUCACAACUAAUCAACAAUUCACAUUCAAGUCAUUUUCACGCACAUUCAUAUAUAUAUAUUAGAAUUAAAUAUGCAAUAAUAAAUACUAUGAAUUAUGAUAAUACAAACCAAUUUUCCUCGAGCUAUUCCUCGAUUACUUUCUCUUUCCCCUUUGUAUUGGAUGCCUCGGUUCCUUUGUUUGCUACGAAAAUUAGCAUAAUUAUAAUAAAUUAAUAUAAUACAAUCCAAUUUAAUUCAUGAGUAUAAACAUGCAAAUUUGACCCUUUUUUUUAAGAUAUAUAAUUUCACCAUUAAGCUGUCUGUUUGAGUCAUUGUUACUAAAUUAUUUAUAUCUUGAGCUAAGAAACUCCAAAUUAAUAUCCAUAAAUUUUUUUUGAAACUAGACUCAUAUAUCUUAUCACCAUAAAAUUUUCAGAACUUUUGGUCUAGCCAAUUAGUACAGUUUAUUCAUUAAAUACUCCCCUGUUACUCCAUUCGACAGUUCUGACCUCUCUCUACUAAAAAUCAAUUAUCUCAUUGUACAGAACUCGAAUAAGGUUCUUAUUUAUUUAUUUUAAAACUAGAUUCAUUAAGGAGUUCACACAUAUAAAUUAAACUCCAUAAUAAUUUUUUACAAUUUUUAAUGGUUUUCCAAAGUCAAAACAGAGUGUCUCGAAAUCACCCUGAACCAGUCUUUCAAAAUUUCAAAUAUCUCUCGAUUCAUAAAUUCAUUGCUUACACUGUUUCCACUAUAAGAAACUAGACCCAAUAAGCUUUAAUUUCAUAUCUUAUCCAUCCUCUAAUUCAAUUCCUACAAUUUUUAGUGAAUUUUCAAAGUCAGACCAUUGCUACUUCCCAAAACUGUUUUGAUGUAAAAUGCUAAUAACCAAGUUUAUAACACCAAUUCACACCUUAUUUCUAUUCAAUUUCCAUCAAAAUAUUCAUAUAACUAUCAAAUUUUCAUCAUUUUUCUAUAAUUCCGAAUUUCUUUCAAUUUAAUUCCUAAAACUCAAAAUUUAUGGCUUGUUUUACAAUUAAGUCCCUAAUUCCAUUCAAAUUCAAAACUUUAUCCAAUUAAUCCCUGAUUUCAUCAUUUCAUCAACAUAAACCCUAAUCAAACCUUCAUUAAUUUUCAAUAUUUUCUCAUGAAUUCAAGAAAAUCUUUCUCUAAAGCUUCAAAAAUACCAAAAUUAGAAAGCAAAAGGGCUUAAUUAACUUACCAAUUUAACUUUCAAGCUUCAAUUCUCCAAUUUUUCCUUUUUCUUUCUUCCUUUCCUUUCUUUUUCUGUUUCGUGAGCUUCUCUGUUCUUUUCUAUCUUUCUUUUUCUUUUAUUUCCUUUUUAUUUACUUUACUUUUAAUAAUAAUAAUUUAAUAUAUAUUUUAACACAUAAAAAUCUCAGAUUUUUAUGUUUAUGCCGCCUCACUUAGGACAAAUGGCAUAAUUACCAUUUUGGUCCUUUUUAUUUUCUUUUAAUCUAUAAUUCAACUUUCACACUUUAUUCAAUUUGGUCCUUUUACUUAGUCACUCUUAAUUAAAUUAAAUUCACUUAAUUAAACUCUAAUUUAACUCAUAAUUAUCCUCAUAAAUAUUUUUAAUAAAUAUUUACGGACUUAAUUUCCUAAGACGGAGGCCCUACGACUCUUUUUCCGGUGCCCGGGAAUUUGGGUCAUUACAUUUCUCUCCCUCUAAAAAAAAAAAUUCGUCCUCGAAAUUUACCUGAGAAUAGGUGAGGGUACUGAGUUCUCAUGGUUUCUUCCGGUUCCCAUGUUGCUUCUUCCAUUUUAUGACUUCUCCAAAGUACUUUUACUAAAGGAACUCUUUUAUUUCUUAAUUCCUUUACCUCUCAGGCUAAAAUCUCAACUGGUUCUUCUUUGAAUGAUAAAUCCGGUCGAAGCUCAAUAUCCUCAGUAGUUAUGACAUGAGAAGGAUCUGAUCGAUAUCUUCGGAGCAUUGAAACAUGAAAAACAUCGUGUACUUUCUGUAACUCUGGAGGUAAAGCUAACCGAUAAGCCACUGGUCCAAUUCUCUCUACUAUCUCAUACGGUCCAAUGAAACGAGGACUCAAUUUACCUUUCCUGCCAAAUCUCAACACUUUCUUCCAAUGAGAGACUUUAAGAAAUACUUUAUCGCCAACCGAAUACUCAAUGUCCUGUCGUUUUAAAUCGGCAUAAGACUUCUGUCUAUCAAAAGCUGCUUUUAAUCUCUCUUGUAUCUUCUUGACUGUUUUUUCAGUUUCUUGGAUCAAUUCUGGCCCAAUCACUUUUCUUCCAUUCAGCUUUGUCCAACACACGGGUGAUCUACAUCUUCGUCCAUAUAAUGCUUCAUACGGAGCCAUUUGAAUACUAGAUUGGAAACUAUUAUUAUAAACAAAUCUAGCUAAAGGCAAAUAACGUUCCCAACCUGAUUCAAACUCCAUAAUACAAGCUCGAAGCAUAUCUUCUAAAAUUUGAAUUACCCGUUUAGAUUGUCCGUCAGUUUGCGGAUGAAAUGCUGUGCUAAAAUUAAGCUGUGUACCUAAGGAUUCAUGUAAUUGCCUCCAAAAUCUCGAUGUGAACCGAGGAUCUUGAUCUGAAAUUAUUGAUUCCGGAAUACCGUGUAGUCUAACAAUUUCUCGGAUAUAUACCUCAGCAAGUCUCUGUAACAACCAAUCUGUUCUAACUGCUAUAAAAUGUGCUGACUUAGUAAGUCUAUCGACUAUCACCCAAAUAGCAUUCUUUUUACUCGCUGACAACGGUAGUCCCAUAACAAAAUCCAUCGUGAUACGAUCCCAUUUCCAUUCAGGAAUAUUAACAGGCUGAAGUAAACCAGUCGGUACCUGAUGUUCUGCCUUUACCCGUUGACAUGUAAGGCAUUUACUAACAUAUUCAACUAUGUCUCUUUUCAUUCCGGGCCACCAAUACAAAUUUCGUAAAUUACGAUACAUUUUUGUACCUCCGGGGUGUAGAGCAAAUGAGCCAUCAUGUGCUUCUCGAAGUAUUAGUUCUUUCAAUUCAGAGUUAUCUGGAAUACAAACUCAAUCUUGGUACCUUAAGCAUCCAUGUGCAUCAAUACUGAAGUUCUCUAGUGUACCACUCUGUAUCAUCUCUCUUUUCUUCACCAACUUAUCAUCUCCCAACUGAGCUGCUCUAAUCUGCUCAAGUAUUACCGGUUUUACUUUUAACUCGGCUAACAGAUUUCCAUCAUCAGUGAUACUGAGCUGUGCAAACAUGACUCUUAACUCAAUUGCCGUUUUUCUACUCAAUGCAUCCGCUACUAUAUUUGCUUUUCCCGGAUGGUAGUCUAUAACACAAUCAUAUUCUUUCAAGAUCUCGAUCCACCGUCUCUGUCUCAAAUUCAAUUUUUUUUGGGAAAGAAGAUACUUUAGACUUUUAUGAUCAGUGAAUAUGUAGCAUUUUUCACCAUAAAGAUAAUGCCUCCAAAUCUUCAAAGCAAAAAUCACAGCUGCUAACUCCAGGUCAUGUGUCAGAUAAUUACACUCGUGUGGUUUCAACUAACGAGAUGCAUAAGCAAUAAAUUUUCCAUCUUGCAUCAGUACACAACCAAACCACUUAAAGAAGCAUCACUGUACACAAUAAAAUCCUUUCCUGAUUCGGGUAAUGUUAAAACUGGUGCCUCGGUUAACAUUUGUUUCAAUGUCUCAAAACUCUUCUGACAUUGGUCAUCCCAUAUAAAAGAAACAUUCUUCUGUAGCAACUUAGUCAUCGGCAUGGCUAUUUUCGAGAAUCCAUUUACAAAUCUUCUAUAAUAUCCAGCCAAACCAAGAAAACUACGUACCUCAUACACAUUCCUUGGAGCUUUCCAUUGAACUAUGGCUUCAAUUUUCUUUGGAUCAACUCUGAUUCCUUCCGCUGAUACUACAUGUCCUAGAAAUACAACCUCUGAUAACCAGAACUCACAUUUACUAAAUUUCCCAUACAAUUGCUUUUCUCGCAAAGUCUGUAACACUGUUUUGAGGUGCUUAUCAUGCUCUGUUUCUGUCUUUGAAUAAACAAGUAUAUCAUCAAUGAAGACCACAACAAAUUGAUCCAAAUACGGCUGAAAUAUACGGUUCAUCAGAUCCAUAAAAGCAGUUGGAGCAUUAGUCAAUCCAAAUGGCAUUACUAAAAAUUCAUAAUGACCAUACCUCGUACAGAAAGCUGUCUUCGGUACAUCACAUUCUUUUACUUUCAGUUGGUAGUAACCCGAUCUCAAGUCUAUCUUUGAGAAUACAGAAGCUCCUUUCAGCUAAUCAAAUAAAUCAUCAAUACGAGGGAGUGGAUAUUUGUUCUUGAUUGUUACUUUAUUCAAUUGUCUAUAAUCAAUACAAAGUCGCAUCGAACCAUCUUUCUUUUUAACAAAUAAUACCGGAACUCCUCACGGUGAAAUACUCGGCCGAAUAAAACCACGAUCUAAUAAAUCUUGCAACUGUAUCUUUAACUCCUUCAAUUCAGUAGGUGCCAUACGAUAAGGAGGUAUAGAAAUCGGAGCAGUACCCGGAUAAACCCCUAUAGCAAAUUCAACUUCUCUGUCAGGUGGUAAACCCGGUAGUUCCUCUGGAAAAACAUCUGGAAAUUCGUAAACUGUUUGGAUCUUACUGCAUGGACUACCCACUGUAUCUGAAUUAAUAACAUAAGCUAAGUAUGCUGUACAACCCUGCUGUAACAUCUUACUAGCUUUCAUUGUUGAGACAACACGUGUUGUUCCACUAUUUUGAAUACCCUUUACCUCAAUAUUGUUUCCAUCAUCAGCCUGAAUACUGAACUUCUUUUCAUAGCAGUCUAAAAUUACACCGUGCUCAGACAACCAAUCCAUACCCAAUAUUACAUCAAAGUCUCCAAAUGGCAUAAUCAAUAGAUUAACCGGAAAAAUUUUAUUUUGUAUAACCAACGAGCAUCUUGGACAAACUUGAUUUACUAAUACCGUCUGUCCUAACGGACUUGACACUUCUAUUGCUACACUAGACAUCUCAAAUUCUAAUUUUCCCAAUUCAACCAAUUUUGAAUUUACAUAUGAAUGCGAAGACCCAGGGUCAAUUAAAACAUAAACAGGUUCGGAAUACAAUAAGAAUAUACUUGUUACAACAUCAUGUGCAUCCCUCUCUUCUCGAGUUCUGACCAAAUAAACUCUAGCUGGAACUCUGGCCUCUGACUGCUGUGUAACAACAUCACUACUUCCUCUAGCACUACCUCCUCGAGAUGAAAAACCACCUCUGCCCAAUCCUCUGCCUCUGGCAGUAGAUACUGAUCUCUGUAAUGUCGCAGGUGCAGUAUUAUCAGCUUUCGGGCAGUCUUUAAUAAAAUGUUCUGUAGAUCCACAUCUGAAACAUCCUCUAGUCAAUCGCCAACAUUCACCUCCGUGUCUUCUCCCACAAUGCUCACAUUCUGGAAUAAUAGUAUCUCGAGAUGGACCUCUUACACUACCAGUAGAGACUGUAGUUUGCUUCCCCUGACUCUUUCCUCAUCUAUCUGAUCUGAAGCUAGAUCUCCAACCACUUCUAAAGUCUCGAAAUCUUUUCAAUAAUGGAUUCAAAAUUGUAGUUCCCGUACGUUUCCCAACCGAUUUAGAAGGUUCAGUCUUUUUAUCAAGCCCCAGAACUUGUUCUAUCAUCUUAGCCUGUUCUAUCAGAUCAACAAAUUCAGUAAUUCACUGAUAUAUCAGUAACAUUUUUAUUUCUUCUCUUAGUCCCCGUAAGAAUCUUUUACAACUGUCGGCUUCAGUCGGUAUAAACUCUGAUGCAUAUCUACCAAGUCUUGAAAAUUCCCGUUCAUACUCUAUUACUGUCAUUUCACCUUGUUUCAAAGUCAGAAAUUCUUGUUUCUUGUUUUCAAUAUAUAUUUCCCCGAUAUAUUUCUUUUGAAACUCUUUCUGAAAUAAAUUCCAUGAUACCUGAUCAGUCGGCAAGUGUCGGAUAACAGAUUCCCACCAUAAAUAUGCCUCACCCUGUAAUAGAGAUACAGCACACAACAGACUUUCUCGGGGAGUACACUCUAACUGUUGUAAAAUUCUUUUUGUCGCUUCUAUCCAAUUCUCAGCUACUAAUGGAUCAACACCUUUCAGACCCGAAAAUUCUGUGGCACCGUAUUUUCUCAAUUUCUUAAUCGGGGCCCGUCUAGGAAUAGGUAUAGAUGUGGUAGCAGGUACAGUUCCCGCUACUUGCUGGAGAGCAUCAACUAAAACUCUUAACAUAUCAGGUUCAUUUCUACAUUUUUCAUCUAUUUCCCUAAUGUUUUCUUCUUCUACCUCGGGAGGUUGGUCUAUAAACGGGUUCACACUAGGUGUGGCUGAUUCACUUUCAUUUAAAUCAAUUGAUCGAUCAUCUGACAUCUUUAAUCUCUAUAAAACAUAAACAAUUAAAUAGGUUAGCAUUCAAAAAUCCCGACUCAAUUCCAACUCAAAUGUGGCAUGUACUUCUAGACUCACUUACGAAUUCGAUUUUAAUCUAAGAAUCGGCUAAACCUAUAGCUCUGAUACCACUAAAUGUAACACCUUCUAACCCCAAACCGUCCCCGGAAUAGGGUUAUAGGGCAUUACCGAAAAUAGACAAACUUUAUUAUUACAAAUCGAAAAUAACCACAAAAUUAUACUCAAAAUAAGGUUAAUUACCCUUAUAGAGGUUCUACGGACCUAAUAUGAACCUUUCGUGGGGUUAGGAUUCGAAUCCUAACUCUACAGGCCUCCUUGAAACACUAAACACAAUUAUACAAACCAAUCCAAUUCACUUCCACAUAACAUGUAACUAUAUACCAUUCAUUUCAUAAACUUAGGAAUCGUCCCUUUAUACGUCAAACUCCUUAAAGUUUAUACACCAUCUUUUACAUUCAAAACAUUAAAUAUAUACAAAUGGCCACCUAAAACCUAGUACAUGCCACAUUACCAAAAGAUAAGAUUUUUACCACAAAAUGAGCUGGAGUUGGAGAUGAUUUUGAAUGCAGAACUGAACUCUAUUUUACCUAACCUGCGCACGAAAAACAACCGUACGCUGAGUAUUGAAAAUACUCAGUGGUAUUAUCAUAAUUCAAUUCAUAACAUCAAAUCAAGUUCAAAACAUAAAUGCACAAGUAGUCAAUUGAAUAUGCCAAUUCAUGUCAUAUUAAUGACAUUCAAAUGAUUAUAAAAUUUUCACCAACAUGUAAACACUUAAUUCAUAACACUUUCAUGUAUACAUAAUUCAUAAACAUAAAGUUCAUGCUUCAACUUCACAACACAAUUUCUUUUCACAUUUCGUAUCAUCAUUUUCUUUCACCUUUCAUUCGAUAAUUCAGAUAAUCAGAUUCAGAUAAUUUUGCUCAUUUCACUUAUAGGCCCUAUUAACCUGACUCGGACCAAGGUGGAUACGCGGAUCCAACCAAACACACCAGAGUGGCGACCAACGCCUUAUCGGAUAGUUCGAAGUAAAUCAGAUCUAUGGCACACCAAGUACCUCAUCGGCCAAGCCGAAGCAAUGUGGCUACCAAAGCCUCAUCGAAACUAUCCGAAGUAAAUCUAUGGCACACCGAGUGCCUCAUCGACUCGAGGUCGAAGAAUCCCUGAACACUUCCAAUCCUAUGGCAUGCCAAUUAUAUCCACUAAGCCCGACUAGUUAAUAGGGUUUCGAUCAUAUUUCCAUUUCCGAAACAUUUUCACAUUUCAAUCAAUUCUCUUAUAUUUCUCAAUGUAAUCACAACUAAUCAACAAUUCACAUUCAAGUCAUUUUCACGCACAUUCAUAUAUAUAUAUUAGAAUUAAAUAUGCAAUAAUAA
rnacentral:lncRNA from 1 species